GAUGAAGAACGUAGCGAAAUGCGAUACGUAAUGUGAAUUGCAAAUUCAGUGAAUCAUCGAAUCUUUGAACGCACAUUGCGCCCGCUAGUAUUCUGGCGGGCAUGCCUGUCCGAGCGUCAUUUCAACCCUCAAGCCCCCGGGCUUGGUGUUGGGGAUCGGCGAGCCUCCGCGCCCGCCGUCCCCUAAAUCUAGUGGCGGUCUCGCUGUAGCUUCCUCUGCGUAGUAGCACACCUCGCACUGGGAAACAGCGCGGCCACGCCGUUAAACCCCCAACUUCUGAACGUUUGACCUCGGAUCAGGUAGGAAUACCCGCUGAACUUAAGCAUAUCAAUAAGCGGAGGA
rnacentral:misc_RNA from 1 species